UUGUAUAAUGGGUCAGCGACUUAUAUUCUGUAGCAAGGUUAACCGUAUAGGGGAGCCGGAGGGAAACCGAGUCUUAACCGGGCGUUAAGUUGCAGGGUAUAGACCCGAAACCCGGUGAUCUAGCCAUGGGCAGGUUGAAGGUUGGGUAACACUAACUGGAGGACCGAACCGACUAAUGUUGAAAAAUUAGCGGAUGACCUGUGGCUGGGGGUGAAAGGCCAAUCAAACCGGGAGAUAGCUGGUUCUCCCCGAAAGCUAUUUAGGUAGCGCCUCGUGAAUUCAUCUCCGGGGGUAGAGCACUGUUUCGGCUAGGGGGCCAUCCCGGCUUACCAACCCGAUGCAAACUGCGAAUACCGGAGAAUGUUAUCACGGGAGACACACGGCGGGUGCUAACGUCCGUCGUGAAGAGGGAAACAACCCAGACCGCCAGCUAAGGUCCCAAAGUCAUGGUUAAGUGGGAAACGAUGUGGGAAGGCCCAGACAGCCAGGAUGUUGGCUUAGAAGCAGCCAUCAUUUAAAGAAAGCGUAAUAGCUCACUGGUCGAGUCGGCCUGCGCGGAAGAUGUAACGGGGCUAAACCAUGCACCGAAGCUGCGGCAGCGACGCUGAUGCGUUGUUGGGUAGGGGAGCGUUCUGUAAGCCUGCGAAGGUGGCCUGUGAGGGUUGCUGGAGGUAUCAGAAGUGCGAAUGCUGACAUAAGUAACGAUAAAGCGGGUGAAAAGCCCGCUCGCCGGAAGACCAAGGGUUCCUGUCCAACGUUAAUCGGGGCAGGGUGAGUCGACCCCUAAGGCGAGGCCGAAAGGCGUAGUCGAUGGGAAACGGGUUAAUAUUCCCGUACUUGGUGUUACUGCGAAGGGGGGACGGAGAAGGCUAUGUUGGCCGGGCGACGGUU
rnacentral:rRNA from 1 species